GUCAGGAAGCCCUUGGUUUUUACUUAUCGUUAUGCAAUCACUUUGCGCUAGGGUAGGGCAGAAGUGGUCACUCAAGAGGAAAGAUCUAAUCCAACUGUGAGUAAAUCAAAGUGAUCAAUACAGGCAUUGUACUCGGGUCCGCUCGAGAUCGCUUGAAUGAUUUAGCAUGGUAUUGGGUUCAUGCCGCAAGGCUAUAAACGGAAAACAGGUAGAGGGCUCAUGUAUUGUAUUGCUAGAGGUGAAAUUCAGAGAUCAAUACAAGACUAACAAACGCGAAGGCAGUUAUGCCCAUAACGUUUUCGUCAAUCAGGAACGAAAGUUGGGGGAUCGAAGGUGAUUAGAUACCACCGUAGUCCCAACCGUAAACUAUACCGACAGGAGAUUGGAUGAUGAUACCUUUCUCCAGAUCCUUUCAGAAUCUAAGGGAAACCGAAAGUCUCUAGGUUUUGGGGGGAGUAUGGUCGCAAGGCUGAAACUUAAAAGAAUUGACGGAAGAACACACCAGGAGUGGAGUUUGCGGCUUAAUUCGACUCAACACGGGAAAACUCACCAAGACCGGAUAACGAUCAGGAUUGACAGGUUAAAGUCCUUUCAUGAUUUCUUAUAUGGUGGUGCAUGGCCGUUCUUAGUACGUGGAUUGAUUUGUCUGGUUAAUUCCGAUAACGUACGAGACCUUAACAUAUUAAUUAGACGCUGUGGGGGCAACUCCAAUGCUUCUCGAAGCCGGCGUGACCAG
rnacentral:rRNA from 1 species